GACGAACGCUGGCGGCGUGCUUAACACAUGCAAGUCGAACGGAAAGGCCCUGCUUUUGUGGGGUGCUCGAGUGGCGAACGGGUGAGUAACACGUGAGUAACCUGCCCUUGACUUUGGGAUAACUUCAGGGAACUGGGGCUAAUACCGGAUAGGAGCUCCUGCUGCAUGGUGGUGGUUGGAAAGUUUCGGCGGUUGGGGAUGGACUCGCGGCUUAUCAGCUUGUUGGUGGGGUAGUGGCUUACCAAGGCUUUGACGGGUAGCCGGCCUGAGAGGGUGACCGGCCACAUUGGGACUGAGAGACGGCCCAGACUCCUACGGGAGGCAGCAGUGGGGAAUAUUGCACAAUGGGCGGAAGCCUGAUGCAGCAACGCCGCGUGCGGGAUGACGGCCUUCGGGUUGUAAACCGCUUUCGCCUGUGACGAAGCGUGAGUGACGGUAAUGGGUAAAGAAGCACCGGCUAACUACGUG
rnacentral:rRNA from 1 species